AGCUCAUCUUCAUCCUUCAACACUCAGCUUCAACGUCACCAUCUCCAGGAAGACUAUGCAGAUAUAUCCAGGUUUGCAUGAACAGAGAAGAAGAGGGGUGGUGAGCAAAGAAAUGAGCUCCAUCUCUAUCUGUAGACUCUGACCCUGGCUGAUUCCUUUGUGCACUGUGACAAAUGGAGACACAGAAGAUGGAAAACCACAUU
rnacentral:lncRNA from 10 species